rnacentral:rRNA from 1 species
CUACGGGUUGCAGCAGUGGGGAAUAUUGGACAAUGGGGGAAACCCUGAUCCAGCAAUGCCGCGUGUGUGAAGAAGGCCUGCGGGUUGUAAAGCACUUUCGGUUGGGAGGACUGCUUCUAGCACUAAUAUUGUUGGAAGUUGACGUUACCUUCAGAAGAAGCACCGGCUAACUCCGUGCCAGCAGCCGCGGUAAUACGGAGGGUGCACGCGUUAAUCGGAAUUACUGGGCGUAAAGCGCGCGUAGGCGGCUAGAUCAGUCGGGUGUGAAAGCCCCGGGCUUAACCUGGGAACUGCAUCCGAUACUGUCUAGCUUGAGUACAGGAGAGGAGAGUGGAAUUCCACAUGUAGCGGUGAAAUGCGUAGAUACGUGGAGGAACACCAAUGGCGAAGGCAGCUCUCUGGCCUGAUACUGACGCUGAGGUGCGAAAGCGUGGGGAGCAAACAGGAUUAGAUACCCGGGUAGUC